rnacentral:rRNA from 1 species
GAUGAACGCUGGCGGCGUGCCUAAUACAUGCAAGUCGAGCGAACGGACGAGAAGCUUGCUUCUCUGAUGUUAGCGGCGGACGGGUGAGUAACACGUGGAUAACCUACCUAUAAGACUGGGAUAAAUUCGGGAAACCGUAGCUAAUACCGGAUAAUAUUUUAAACCGCAUGGUUCAAAAGUGAAAGACGGUCUUGCUGUCACUUAUAGAUGGAUCCGCGCUGCAUUAGCUAGUUGGUAAGGUAACGGCUUACCAAGGCAACGAUGCAUAGCCGACCUGAGAGGGUGAUCGGCCACACUGGAACUGAGACACGGCCCAGACUCCUACGGGAGGCAGCAGUAGGGAAUUUUGCGCAAUGGGCGAAAGCCUGACGGAGCAACGCCGCGUGAGGGAUGAAGGUCUUCGGAUCGUAAAACUCUGUUAUUAGGGAAGAACAUAUGUGUAAGUAACUGUGCACAUAUUGACGGUACCUAAUCAGAAAGCCACGGCUAACUCCGUG